GGGWGAAGUCGUAACAAGGUAGCCGUAGGGGAACCUGCGGCUGGAUCACCUCCUUUCUAGGGAGUGCUAUUCAUUACUCUUCGAAGUAGUGGAGAUGCCUCUUAGUUUUGCUCGCUCAGAGUACGAAUCCUAUUACGAUUGCUUAGAUGUUAUAUGCUCUUUGACAAUGGCAUAAGGACUGAGACCUAUUAUUGAGUUGAACAAGGGUCAAGCAUGUAAGAGCAUACAGUGGAUGCCUUGGCACGCGGAGGCGAUGAAGGACUGCUAA
rnacentral:misc_RNA from 1 species